AAAACAAAACACAACAUUUCCUCAUCCACUGAAAACACAAGUACAUUCAACCGUUCACUGGAAUAUUGGCACUCCGAUCAACUUACUCGUAACAUAAUACAAAAUGAUGAUGAUUAAUGCACACCCAUCCUUCAAUGAUAUUUUGUUUUUCUUGUUGUUUUUUUCAGUAAGAGAGAGAGAGAGAGAGAGAGAGAGAGAGAGAGAGAGAGAGAGAGAGAGAGAGAGAGAGACAAGAAAAGAGAAGAAAAGAAAAGAGAAAAGAGAAAAAAAGAAGAGAAGAAUGAAAAGAGAAAAGAGAAAGUAUAUCAGUCUAUAUCUAUCUAUCUAACUAUUUCUAGCUAUGUACAUGUGGAUUCGUAGCCAGGCACGCUAACCACUGCACCAUGGCGGCAUGUAGCUGGAAGCAGGAUGUAUUAAACGCAAAAGCUACAAGAGAAACGUUGCAGUAGUAACACAAAAUUAACAGGGAUGAGAGAAGCAGUAAUCUAGAGGGAAUGGGAGUAAGGAAAAUGGGAAGAAUUGGUAAGUGAGAAACUGAGUGGCAUUGGCUACAGGGAAGUGUGUGAAGGGAAGGUGAAGGAGUUACUUGGAAGAGCGAGAGUAGGGUCAGAACACAAUGAUGGAGCGAGAAAGGUGUUUGAGGUUUCGGAGUUACUUGGAAGAACAAGAGUAGGGUUAGAACACAAUGACGGAGCGAGAAAAGUGUUUGAGGUUUCGGAGUUACUUGGAAGAACAAGAGUAGGGUUAGAACACAAUGACGGAGCAAGAAAAGUGUUUGAGGUUUCGGAGUUACUUGGAAGAACAAGAGUAGGGUUAGAACACAAUGACGGAGCGAGAAAAGUGUUUGAGGUUUCGGAAGUCAGUAGUUCAGGCAAAUGACGAAAUAAUUGGAUACAGUGUGUGUGUGAGAGGAAAGAAAGGGAAUGCAUGGUGUACAGAGGAUUAAAGAGACAGUUAAAAAGAAGACAGAGGACCUACAACAAAAAGGUACAGAAAAAUGUGCCAUAAAAGGUGAUGUACAGGA